rnacentral:rRNA from 1 species
AUUGAACGCUGGCGGCAUGCCUUACACAUGCAAGUCGAACGGCAGCACGGGAGCAAUCUUGGUGGCGAGUGGCGAACGGGUGAGUAAUAUAUCGGAACGUGCCCAGUCGUGGGGGAUAACGGAGCGAAAGCUACGCUAAUACCGCAUACGAUCUAUGGAUGAAAGCGGGGAACCGCAAGACCCUGCGCGAUCGGAGCGGCCGAUAUCAGAUUAGGUAGUUGGUGAGGUAAAGGCUCACCAAGCCGACGACCUGUAGCUGGUCUGAGAGGACGACAAGCCACACUGGGACUGAGACACGGCCCGGACUCCUACGGGAGGCAGCAGUGGGGAAUUUUGGACAAUGGGCGCAAGCCUGAUCCAGCAAUGCCGCGUGCAGGAUGAAGGCCUUCGGGUUGUAAACUGCUUUUGUACGGAACGAAACGGCGAGCUCUAAUACAGUUUGCUAAUGACGGUACCGUAAGAAUAAGCAUCGGCUAACUACGUGCCAGCCGCCGCAGUAA